rnacentral:rRNA from 1 species
AGUGAACGCUGGCGGUAGGCCUAACACAUGCAAGUCGAACGGCAGCACAGUAAGAGCUUGCUCUUACGGGUGGCGAGUGGCGGACGGGUGAGGAAUAUAUCGGAAUCUACUUUUUCGUGGGGGAUAACGUAGGGAAACUUACGCUAAUACCGCAUACGACCUACGGGUGAAAGGAGGGGAUCUUCGGACCUUGCGCGAUUGAAUGAGCCGAUGUCGGAUUAGCUAGUUGGCGGGGUAAAGGCCCACCAAGGCGACGAUCCGUAGCUGGUCUGAGAGGAUGAUCAGCCACACUGGAACGUAGACACGGUCCAGACUCCUACGGGAGGCAGCAGUCGGGAAUAUUGGACAAUGGGCGCAAGCCUGAUCCAGCCAUACCGCGUGGGUGAAGAAGGCCUUCGGUUUGUAAAGCCCUUUUGUUGGGAAAGAAAAGCAGCAGGUUAAUACCCCGCUGUUCUGACGGUACCCAAAGAAUAAGCACCGGCUAACUUCGUG